AGCCAAACAAUAGAAAUGUAUAACCAAACAAUAACUUAGGAAUUUUUAUCAGCCAUACUGCAUUCCACCUGAAUUUCCUCUUCUUCAUCUGAUGAAGGGACACUCAUGACCUUCUUCGCAGAUUUCUUUGCCAUCCUCUUCCUCUUAAUACCUGGAGUUUUCUUUUCAUUAAAAGGACUACCUUUAUUUUUAUUUAUUUUUCAAUUUUCGACAAUCUUCGGCCAUUAGUUUCCUCAGUGUAGCAUCGAAAUCAGGACUAGGUCUUCGUUUGGACGAAGUUUCUGCCUUUCCUGCUAACAUAAUAUUUCGUUUCAAUCAAUAAAUGUAGUAAACAGAGGCCUAAAAAAAAAUCAUGAUCCUUUCCAUAAAUGUAUCCAUCGUGAAUUCACGAUCCUUUCCAUAAAACUGUAUCCAUCAUGAAUUCAUGAUCCUUUCCAUAAAAAUACAAAUUUAAUCACGAAUUCUAUGAUUUAGAAAAAUGAAAAACAAACAAAUGCACUACCAGUAAAUCAUACCUAUUUGAUCUAGUUCAUUGGUUAUCAACUGAUCGUGACCCUCUAGGAAGAAGGUCGAUCUUAUCUACUAUAGUAUAAUUCCAAGUAUUCCACAAGUAUAAUCACAAUGUAUCACAAGUAUAAUCACUGUAUUACAAGUAAUCCCCCCCCCUUUACACUUCACCCCUAGGGGUAUUUAUACAACUUCCUAACACGAAUCGACCUGAUGGAUCCGAUAUACUUGGGACGCCU
rnacentral:lncRNA from 1 species